rnacentral:SRP_RNA from 1 species
GCCAGGCGUGGUGGCAGGCGCCUGUAAUCCCAGCUACUCGGGAGGCUGAGGCAGGAGAAUCGCUUGAGCCCGGGAGUUGGAGGUUGCAGUGAGCAGAGACUGAGCCACUGCACUCCAGCCUGGGUAACAGAGCGAGACUCUGUCUCAA